CUAGCUGGUCUGAGAGGAUGACCAGCCACACUGGAACUGAGACACGGUCCAGACUCCUACGGGAGGCAGCAGUGGGGAAUAUUGCACAAUGGGCGCAAGCCUGAUGCAGCCAUGCCGCGUGUAUGAAGAAGGCCUUCGGGUUGUAAAGUACUUUCAGCGGGGAGGAAGGGAGUAAAGUUAAUACCUUUGCUCAUUGACGUUACCCGCAGAAGAAGCACCGGCUAACUCCGUGCCAGCAGCCGCGGUAAUACGGAGGGUGCAAGCGUUAAUCGGAAUUACUGGGCGUAAAGCGCACGCAGGCGGUUUGUUAAGUCAGAUGUGAAAUCCCCGGGCUCAACCUGGGAACUGCAUCUGAUACUGGCAAGCUUGAGUCUCGUAGAGGGGGGUAGAAUUCCAGGUGUAGCGGUGAAAUGCGUAGAGAUCUGGAGGAAUACCGGUGGCGAAGGCGGCCCCCUGGACGAAGACUGACGCUCAGGUGCGAAAGCGUGGGGAGCA
rnacentral:rRNA from 1 species